CAGAAACUAGUUUAUAAAAACAGUUAUUUUGGGUAUAACAGAUACAGAACAAAAACUGUGUUUCUGA
rnacentral:tRNA from 1 species